rnacentral:rRNA from 1 species
UGGGGAAUUUUGGACAAUGGGCGAAAGCCUGAUCCAGCAAUGCCGCGUGUGUGAAGAAGGCCUUCGGGUUGUAAAGCACUUUUGUCCGGAAAGAAAUCCUUGGCUCUAAUACAGUCGGGGGAUGACGGUACCGGAAGAAUAAGCACCGGCUAACUACGUGCCAGCAGCCGCGGUAAUACGUAGGGUGCAAGCGUUAAUCGGAAUUACUGGGCGUAAAGCGUGCGCAGGCGGUUUGCUAAGACCGAUGUGAAAUCCCCGGGCUCAACCUGGGAACUGCAUUGGUGACUGGCAGGCUAGAGUAUGGCAGAGGGGGGUAGAAUUCCACGUGUAGCAGUGAAAUGCGUAGAGAUGUGGAGGAAUACCGAUGGCGAAGGCAGCCCCCUUGGGCCAAUACUGACGCUCAUGCACGAAAGCGUGGGGAGCAAACAGGAUUAGAUACCCUGGUAGUCCACGCCCUAAACGAUGUCAACUAGUUGUUGGGGAUUCAUUUCCUUAGUAACGUAGCUAACGCGUGAAGUUGACCGCCUGGGGAGUACGGUCGCAAGAUUAAAACUCAAAUGAAUUGACGGGGUCAUAGCUGUUUCCU